rnacentral:lncRNA from 1 species
UAACCCAGACACUAAAAAGCAAGGCAGCGGGGGUCCUACCAGCGCGGCUUUUGAUGACGUCGGUGAAUCCGUCCUCAGCGGCAUUUUCUGGGGUCUCCUGCAGACCCCUCAGCUGUGCCAUAACCAAACGCCACGUGCCUCAGCUUCCUCACGCCCCAAACUUUGGAAGGCAGGUCACAUGGAAUCUACACAUGGAAGGACAUAGGCAUUGCAUGCAGGUAUCCGGAAUCAUUGAUAUUGGUCUUAAAAUUUGGAAGUUUCCACUUUUGCUAAGCCAUGUGAGGACACAACAAGAAGGCAUCACCAAUGAAGAAUAGGCCUUCAUCAGACAUCCAAUCUGCAGGCCUCUUGAUCUUGGACUUCCUAAUCUACAGAAUUGUGCUGCUCUGUUGGAGCUCUCUGUCUGUGAGGUGCAUUCUACCAGCACAGGAGCUAUGAUGUGGGACCCCAGGAGGUCCUCCUCCCCUGGGCACCUGAGACUGCACAGCAAGCAGAUGUCAUGAUUGCAUAUUUAGAAAACCCCAUCGUCUCAGCCCAAAAGCUCCUUAAGCUGAUAAGCAACUUCAGCAAAGUCUCAGGAUACAAAAUCAAUGUGCAAAAAUCACAAGCAUUCCUAUACACCAAUAGCGGACAGACAGAAAGCCAAAUCAUGAGUGAACUCCCAUUCACAAUUGCUACAGAGAAUAAAAUACCUAGGAAUACAACUUACCAGGGAUGUGAAGAACCUCUUCAAGGAGAACUACAAACCAUGCUCAAGGAAAUAAGAGAGGACACAAACAAAUGGAAAAAACAUUCCAUGCUCAUGUAUAGGAAGAAUCAGUAUUGUGAAAAUGGCCAUACUGCCCAAAGUAAUUUAUAGAUUCAAUGCUAUUCCCAUCAAGAUACCAUUGACUUUCUUCACAGAAUUAGAAAAAAACUACUUUAAAUUUCAUAUAGAACCAUAAAAGAGCCUGUAUAGUCAAGGCAAUCCUAAGCAAAAAGAACAAAGCUGGAGGCAUCACACUACCUGACUUCAAACUAUACUACAAUGCUACAGUAACCAAAACAGCAUGGUACUGGUACCAAAACAGAUAUAUAGACCAAUGGAACAGAACACAGCCCUCAGAAAUAAUGCCACACAUCUACAACCAUCUGAUCUUUGACAAACCUGACGAAAACAAGCAAUGGGGAAAGGAUUCCCUAUUUAAUAAAUGGUGUUGAGAAAACUGGCUAGUCAUAUGCAGAGAUUUAUUUUUGUAAUAUGGGACAUAAAAUUCGGUAUUUAUUGAGGUUUAAAAUAUCCAUCUAUGCUUAUCAAGCUAAAUACAUUGACUUUUACAUUGUAAUUAUAAAAUGUGUAAAUGUGUAUCAUUGUUCUUACUUGAUAAUAAAAUAUUUGGUUAUCUCAUUUUUGUUAGAGCAGAGUAAUGUAUUUAACAUUAAAUAUAAAUUAGAAUCUAAAGUCUACAGUGGGAACUAAAAUCACUGUUAGAAUUUGAAAAAU